GGUGGCUAAAGUUGUGCCUGAGAACUCAGUUAACUUCCUUUGGCUUUUCCUUUGCCCUUAACACAUUUGGGGUUAGUUCUCCAGAGAAUACUAAUGACAAAUAUCCAGGACUUGACCUUUGAAGAUCUUCGGCAUCCAACUCCUUAAUAUACUAUCAUAACAACUGAUCAUUGCCGGCUCAUCCUACCCCCUUGUUCUUGAAGAAUGUGUUUGGUUAAUGACUUAUUUCAUGGCCAUGGAGGUGACAUCACGUGGAAAACCAGCUAUGAUGCCAGAGUUAACUACUUGGUGGAGAGCAUUUGAGGUGUAGAUGGACACAACACAAUGCCUUUAUUUUAUGAAGUGCUGAGGAUCGAACCCGGGUCCCGCCUGUGCUAGGCAAGCCCUUACCGCUGAGCAACAAUCCCAACUGUACAGUCCUUUUUAUUUUUUAUUUUGAAACAAGGUCUUUUUCUUAAACAUGCUUUUAUAUAUAUAUUUAUUUUUUAAUUAUAGGUGGGUGCAAUAUCUUUAUUUUUAUGUGGUGCUGAGGAUUGAACCCAGUGCCUCACACAUGCUAGGCGAGCAUUCUACCUCUGAGCCACAACCCCAGCCCUUGAAACAGGGUCUUGAUAAGUUGCUGAGGGUCUUACUAAGUUGCCCAGACUGGCCUUGAUUGCAGUCCUCCUGCCUCAGCCUCCCCAUUUGCUGCAAUUACAGGUGUACGCCACCACACCAAGCUCAGGGGAUUUUUUCCCCCCAGUGCUGGAAAUUGUACCCAGGGCCUCAGACAUACUAGACAAGUGUACUACCACUGACCCACAUCUCCAGCCCCAAGGGGAUUUUUAAGUAAUUAUACACUGUCUCCUAGAGUCAGUACAUUACUACAAAGAUAUUUAUAAAGAUAAGGAACUAUACAGUCUUACUCAUCUUAAAACCUUUGUACUUUCAUAACUGAAAUACAUGAUAAAUUGUGACCCCUACCACCACCAGACAACCAGGCAUGAUGGGACACGCCUGUAAUCCCAAAGAUUCAGGAAACUGAGGAAGGAGGAUGGGAAAUUUGAAAUCAGUCUGGGCAAUUUAGUAAAUCCUUGUUUCAAAAUAAAAGAAAAAGGACUGAUUAUGUAGCUCAGUGGUAGAGUGUUUGCCUACAUGUCAAUCCCUAGUACUGGGAAAAAAAAAAAAAAAAGAUGCUCUACCACUGAGCCAUAUCCCCAGCCCCUAAAAUGGGCUUCUUGUGAGGAAUAGUCUGGGAAAAUGGCAGAAAAGAGAAUAUAAUACUUUCCUACUACAGUUUAUUAAAAUCUGCAUGCAUUCAAACUUGGAGCUAGUUUUCAGCUAAUUUUUAAAAGUACUGUUUAACACAGUCAUUGGAGACUACAUAACAGAAAGAACACUGACCUAGGGUUAAGAUUAUCCCUGGUGGCGGGCUGGGUUGUGGCUGAGUAGUAGAGUGCUCACGCCCUGGGUUCAAUCCUUAGCACCACAUAAACAUAAAUAAAUAAAAUAAAGUAUUAUGUUCAACUACAACUAAAAAAUAAAUAUUAAAAAAAAAAAAAAGAUUAUCCCUGGGGUCUCAGCUCCUGACUAGAAGGACACCUCUCUGAGCUUAGUUUCUUCAUCUAUAAAAUAGAUGAAAUCUGUUUCAUAUAAUCAUAAAGGUUGAGUGAGAAUGUGUAUGUGCUUGUUAUAUUAGUAUUCAAUGUAUAUUAGUUUUCUUUCCCUUAUUAUUCAUCCCUGUCUUAUACAUGUAUAUCCAUUUUUUUUUUUUCUUGCAGCACUGGGAAUGGAACUAGAGCUUUGUGCAUGCUAGGCAAGCACUCUACCAUCGAAUCACAUCUCCAGUAUCUUUCUCCUAUAGUCCAUCCUAUAUUUAAGGGAAUCUUAAAUAUGGCACAUGCCCAUAAUCCCAAUGACUCAGGAAAUGUGUGUGUGUGUGUGUGUGUGUUUUGGGGGAUUCUGGGGGCUUGAAACCAGGACCUUGCAUAUGCUAAGUAAGUGUUCCACCACUGAGUUACAUCCCCAGCCCUUUUAAGUUUUGUUUUGAGAUAGGGUUUGCUAAGUUUUCCAUGCUGUUCUUUUCUUUUUUUUUUUUAAUUUUAAUAUUUAGUUUUUAGUUUUCAGCGGACACAACAUCUUUUGUUAUGUAUGUGGUGCUGAGGAUCGAACCCGGGCCGCACGCAUGCCAGGCGAGCUCACUGCCGCUUGAGCCACAUCCCCAGCCCCUCCAUGCUGUUCUUUAACUCCUGCCUCAGCCUUCCAGGUAGCUAGGAUUAUAGGAGUGUGCCACCUAUCUGGCUUAAAUCUAUUUUUAUCCCCUUUUUUUGCAGUGCUGGCAUCAAAUCCAUGGCCUCACAGAUACUAAGCAAGUGCUUUACCAUUGCGCCACAACCACCCACCCCUGCGAAUGAAUCCUUUCUAACUGCAAAAUAACCUCUAUAAGAGCCUGUGUGUUGGCAGACCCCUAUAAUCCCAGCAGCUUGGAAGGCAGAGACAGGAGGCUCAUGACUUCAAAGCCAGCCUCAACAAAAAGCAAGGCACUAAGUAACUCAUUAAGACCCUGUCUCUGGGGUCUGGGGAUGUGGCUCAAGCGGUAGCUCGCCUGGCAUGCACGGGGCGCUGGGUUCCAUCCUCAGCACCACAUAAAAAUAAAAUAAAGAUGUUGUGUCCACCGAAAACUAAAAAAUAAAUAUUAAAAAAUUCUCUCUCUCUCUCUCUCAAAGACCCUGUCUCUGAAUGAAAAUACAAAAUAGAAAUGGGGAUGUGGCUCAGUGGUCAAGUGCCCCUAAGUUCAAUCUCCAUACCCCCUGCCAAAAAAACAAAAAACUUUAAAAGAGGAUUUUUUGUUUUUGGGACAGUUUCAUUAUGCUGCUUAGGCUGGUCUCCAACUUGUAGUUUAAGUGAUCUUCCUGCCUCAGUCUCUGGAGUAACUGGAACUACAGUCAUGCAACACUGCAUCUGGCUAAAGGGCCAGAUUUUCACUUAGUAAACUUCUGGUUAUAUUUGGACCUUA